rnacentral:misc_RNA from 1 species
AACUAGUUCAGCUGCCAUUUAACCUGAAAGCAUACAUGUUAGAUAUCCAUUUCCCAAUAACUUAGGUUGGAUUAAUGUCAACCUUGAGCAAAAACACAAAAUCCAAAUGUUUGUAUUCUAUUGUAUUUUUUUUUAUAGGCGUUUGUAUUCUAUUGUUAAAUGCCCCAAAAUUCCACGGUUUCAUCCUCAAACUAGAUAUAAGUUCUUAAGUAGCUCAAAUUUCAUGUGCAGCAAGUUCAGUGCAGAGAACAGGUAAAGAGGAGAGAAAAGAAUAUUGAAAACAGAAAUUCACCUUGCAAAAGUCCUCGAGAAAUAGGAUAGAAUUCCAGGAAUACAAUUCAUCCUUUUUUUUUUUUCGCUCUUAAAGAAAUCCAAUUUUUUAUAUAUAAACAAGUUGAAAUUAAGCGAAAAAUCCCCCUUGAAAUACGAAUUUUGGAAGAGGAGAUAUUGAUUCAAAUUCAAUUCCUAUUUUAUUUCCAAAGCAAACCAAAUAUGCCCUAAAAUUUGUAGAGAUUUUUUGUAAAGAUGAUUUUUUUUGUUUUUUUAAUAGCAAAGUCCAUGAAGACUUAAUAGUAUGUACUUCCUGAAUGACUUCCUAAAAAGGAAGUAUGCCAUAUCUCAUGGAUUACAUGUAAACAAGUUUAUUACCACCGUAUUUACAAUUAAUUCAGCUAAACUUCGUCAAGAAAAAGUUAUCAUUUUUAAAUACAUGCAUGUGUAUGAAGCUGAGAAUAGGAUUAUAUACCAAGACCAAUGUUCUACAUGAUUUACAGACAAUAAAGAACUAAAAAGAUGCUAGUAACAGUUCAUAAAAUACCAUUAAAGACAACAAAAAUUGCACUAGCCAAUAAAAGCAUAAAACAUGAUAACCCAUGAAGAAAUCAUGUUCAUUCAGGCUCACAACUCCCAAGAGGAUCAAGCAAGCUGACUACAAGAAAAGCAUACACAUAGAAGCAGAG